CCUACGGGAGGCAGCAGUGGGGAAUAUUGCACAAUGGGGGAAACCCUGAUGCAGCGACGCCGCGUGAGUGAAGAAGUAUCUCGGUACGUAAAGCUCUAUCAGCAGGGAAGAAAAUGACGGUACCUGACUAAGAAGCCCCGGCUAACUACGUGCCAGCAGCCGCGGUAAUACGUAGGGGGCAAGCGUGAUCCGGAUGUACUGGGUGUAAAGGGAGCGUAGACGGCAGGACAAGUCUGGAGUGAAAUCCCGGGGCUUAACCACGGAAUUGCUUUGGAAACUGUGCGGCUGGAGUGCAGGAGGGGUAAGCGGAAUUCCUAGUGUAGCGGUGAAAUGCGUAGAUAUUAGGAGGAACACCGGUGGCGAAGGCGGCUUACUGGACUGUAACUGACGUUGAGGCUCGAAAGCGUGGGGAGCAAACAGGAUUAGAUACCCGUGUAGUC
rnacentral:rRNA from 1 species